UACGUAGGAGGCGAACGUUAUUCGGAUUUACUGGGCGUAAAGCGGGUGUAGACGGCUUCUUAAGUCGGAUGUGAAAUCUCCUGACUUAAUCAGGAGAGGACAUUCGAUACUACGAAGCUAGAGGACGGUAGAGGAAAGCGGAACUCCCGGUGUAGCGGUGAUAUGCGUAGAUAUCGGGAGGAACACCAGUGGCGAAGGCGGCUUUCUAGGCCGUUCCUGACGUUGAGGCCCAAAAGCGUGGGGAG
rnacentral:rRNA from 1 species